UAAAACAGUGAAUGCUCUGCUC
rnacentral:piRNA from 1 species